rnacentral:rRNA from 1 species
CCUACGGGAGGCAGCAGUGGGGAAUAUUGGGCAAUGGAGGCAACUCUGACCCAGCAACGCCUCGUGAAUGAUGAAGGUCUUCGGAUUGUAAAGUUCUGUGAUUGGGGAUUAACACAAUGACACUACCCCAAUAGCAAGCCACGGCUAACUACGUGCCAGCAGACGCGGUCAUACGUAGGUGGCAAUCGUUAUCCGGAAUGACUGGGCGUAAAGGUUGCGUAGGUUGUUUAGUAAGUUGGCGGUGUAAUUCCGGGGCUCAACCUCGGCGCUACCGCAAAAACUAUUAGACUAGAGUGCAGGAGGGGUAAGUGGGAUUCGUAGUGUAGCGGUGGAAUGGGUAGAUAUUAGGAGGAACAUCAGGGGCGAAGGCGACUUACUGGACUGUAACUGACACUGAGGCACGAAAGCGUGGGGAGCAAACAGGAUUAGAUACCCUUGUAGGC